UACGGGGGGGGCAAGCGUUGUUCGGAAUUACUGGGCGUAAAGGGUGCGUAGGCGGUCUGUUAAGUUGGAUGUGAAAACUCUGGGCUCAACCCAGAGCCUGCAUCCAAAACUGGCAGGCUAGAGUUCUGGAGGGGGUAGCGGAAUUCCUGGUGUAGCGGUGAAAUGCGUAGAUAUCAGGAGGAACACCGGUGGCGAAGGCGGGUCUCUGGGCCGAUACUGACGCUGAGGAGCGAAAGCGUGGGGAGCGAACAGG
rnacentral:rRNA from 1 species